CCGCCAGCCAGACCCAGGCCUACGAGGAGACCAGGCUACCUGACUCUUCUCAGACCCGGGAAGGUGGAGGGGCCUGAUCUGCAAGACAGAGCGAGGAGGGAGGCAGAAGGAACCCCUCCCAAGCCACCCAGGCUCCCCUGCUCCGGCUGCUACAGCCCGCUGUUCACCCACAAGGAGGGACGCCCCCGGGCCAGGCGAGAAGACGGGCAGCCCCCGGCGGCGAAG